rnacentral:rRNA from 1 species
UACGUAGGCAGCAAGCGUUGUUCGGAAUUACUGGGCGUAAAGAGUGUGUAGGCGGUGCUCUAAGUCUGUUGUGAAAUCUCCCGGCUUAACCGGGAGGGUGCGGCGGAAACUGGAGUGCUUGAGGGUGGGAGAGGUAAGCGGAAUUCCUGGUGUAGCGGUGAAAUGCGUAGAUAUCAGGAGGAACACCGGUGGCGAAGGCGGCGUCCUGGACCAAUACUGACACUGAGUGAGCGAAAGCCAGGGGAGCAAACGGG